rnacentral:snRNA from 1 species
GGAUGUGAGGUUCAUCUGGCUGUGGACAGCUGUCACCCCAGUGAUCACCAGGGUUGGUUCCGCUGAUCUCGUGGGCUGGGUGGUGUCCCUGUCUCCCUCAUGGCUCCAAGUGUGUCACCCCUGAAGCUGUGCACUGGGUAGAAGAGGAUGACCUUCCCUGAAAGAGGCGGACCUUUCUUCAGUCAAGGUUUCAGGAGUAGCUGCACUCUCCUGCUAGAUCCUCCAAAUGUGCUCUCAAGGGUUAUUUGUAGGAGAACAGGACUCCAGGACUCCAGACACAUCCAAAUGAGGUGCUGCAUGUCGCAGUCUGUCUUUCUUA